UGAUCUCCACCAAGCCAAAAGUCUCUCCUCCGCGGUGUGCUUGCACGGAAGCGGAGGAAGGACUUUAUGACGCGCCCCCACUCAUGAGCAUGGAGAGGGACCUCGUCCCUCGGGAAUGCGAAUGAGGGGCGCAGGCCACAAGGCGCGAAGCGGCGGAGGCAUGCGGGAAUCA
rnacentral:sRNA from 1 species